AACCACGGCAAAGUUCUGACUUUUCUCGCUGUUUCUCCGCUUCAGACGUCGCAUCGGACAAGUUCGUCGACCAAAGCUCGACCGUGUGGACGGAGCCUUAGGGUUUAGGACUUUAGUUUAAACUGUUGAAGGAUACCCUGUAAACUGUCUGAAGGAUACCCGCCAUCUGAGAUGGCCCUUGUCUGAAGGUAUCCGCCAUUUGCCUGUGUCCUAGCUCAUUUGGUAAUUAAACUUCCUAAAGGUUUGGAUGACGAGAGAAAAAUAACUGGAACCGCUGUUGUAAUUGAUAAGAGGAUUGUUUUACCAGAUCUGAAGACUUUUAUAGUGGUCAUUGGGCCAGAGAUAUAUCGGCAUGCUAAAGAAUCUCAAACUUUAAAGAAGCUUCAACUCGAGACAAGAGGUAAUGGAAAUUUUAAAGUGAUCGGGGGGUGGAAAUAAUUUAUCGUUCGAUUAAAGGAUGAACUGCUAA